CUACGGGAGGCAGCAGUAGGGAAUAUUGGACAAUGGGCGAAAGCCUGAUCCAGCCAUGCCGCGUGAUAGAUGAAGGCCCUCUGGGUUGUAAAUAUCUUUUAUCUGGGAAGAAACUCCUCUAUUCUUAGAGGCCUGACGGUACCAGAGGAAUAAGCACCGGCUAACUCCGUGCCAGCAGCCGCGGUAAUACGGAGGGUGCAAGCGUUAUCCGGAUUCACUGGGUUUAAAGGGUGCGUAGGCGGGUGUAUAAGUCAGUGGUGAAAGCUCCAGGCUUAACUUGGAAAUUGCCAUUGAUACUGUAUAUCUUGAAUGUCGUUGAGGUAAGCGGAAUGUUGCAUGUAGCGGUGAAAUGCUUAGAUAUGUUACAGAACACCAAUUGUGAAGACAGCUUACUAAGCGAUGAUUGACGCUGAGGCACGAAAGCGUGGGGAGCAAACAGGAUUAGAAACCCUGGUAGUCC
rnacentral:rRNA from 1 species